GUCCAAGGACCGGAAUCGAACCCACAACCUUCUGCUUACCGGGCAGGUGCCAUGUCCACUAGGCUACCCUGGA